rnacentral:tRNA from 1 species
AAAGCAAUCACGAACAAACAAAAACAAUAUAGAACGAACUUGCCUCAUGACUCAUAAUCGCCAGGUCGCUGGUUCAAAUCCAGCAAGGGCCACCA